rnacentral:tRNA from 1 species
UGACGUGUAGCAUCAUGGUGAUGCAUCUGACUGUUAGAGUUGGAAAUGAGGUCGGUUCGAAUCCGAUCACGUCAA